rnacentral:rRNA from 1 species
CCUACGUGAGGCAGCAGUGAGGAAUAUUGGUCAAUGGGCGCGAGCCUGAACCAGCCAAGUAGCGUGAAGGAUGACUGCCCUACGGGUUGUAAACUUCUUUUAUAAAGGAAUAAAGUGAGGCACGUGUGCCUUUUUGUAUGUACUUUAUGAAUAAGGAGCGGCUAACUCCGUGCCAGCAGCCGCGGUACUACGGAGGAUCCGAGCGUUAUCCGGAUUUAUUGGGUUUAAAGGGAGCGUAGAUGGGUUGUUAAGUCAGUUGUGAAAGUUUGCGGCUCAACCGUAAAAUUGCAAUUGAUACUGGCAGUCUUGAGUACAGGUGAGGUAGGCGGAAUUCGUGGUGUAGCGGUGAAAUGCUUAGAUAUCACGAAGAACUCCGAUUGCGAAGGCAGCUUACUAAACUGCCACUGACAUUGAUGCUCGAAAGUGUGGGUAUCAAACAGGAUUAGAUACCCGUGUAGUC